UAAGUUUACAGAGUUGUAGUUAUGUAACUAACAAAGUUCAAGCUAUCAUAUAUAAGAAAACAAACAUAACAAACAUAACAAAAUAACAAUAACAAAAUGACAAAAUAAGCCAUAAAGGCGAUGUCAAACUCGUAGGUUCCUAGGUGAUCACACAAAAUCUUUCAAUUUAGGGUGAACUAUGUAUUUUUUAUUCUUAGUUUUAACGCCUAAUAGGAUUUCGCCGUCGCGGAAAUCGAUUCCUCAUCGAUUUCGCGCGAUUCCUUAGUGAUUACUCGGUCGGCCGCCUUAUUUCAUUGCCUUGCCCGAGGCGAGGCGUUUUGCUGGCGCCUUGGGGUUUUUCCCGCCUAGGCGGACGCCUAAUCGCGCCUUCCAUAACACUGAUUUUAACAAACUGCAAAGUACAAAUUAGUAGGUGAAACAAGCUCCUGGACUAAAAAAAGCCUGCUGAAAAAUAAAUUAACAACGGAUUAGAACAACCUCCUAUCAUUUUUUACACCAUUUACACUAGAACUUAAGAACUAAAAUUAUUUAUAGUGUGAUGCAAAAAUUGAGCUAAAACAAGAUUUCAAGCUAAAAAUCGUUGCUGGAAUUUCAUUAAAAGGGGCAAAAUAAUCAAGCUUUUCAAAUAGGAAGUCAUUUUUUAAAAAAAAUUUAGUUUAUCAAUCCAACUUACAAUAACAAUAUAGUCAAGUUUUUAUAUUAGGCAACCUAUGCAAUGAUAGAAGCAUCACUUUUAUCAAGCAAAAACUAUAGCAGUUCGGAUUAAGGAUUUUACCGUAUAGUGGGCUAUUCUCUUCUCUUUUUUACUUUUGUUUCUCCUGAGCAAUUCGGGCCGGCUUUUCUUUCGUCUUCUCACCUGAAAUUUAACAAAGAAUGGUUAAAAUUUUAUUAUUAGGCUAAAAUUGAGUUUAAAUCAGAAAAUCUAAAACAUAAUCACCUUUUUUACCUGGGUUUCCCUCUUUCUGUUUGUCUCGUCUCCGAUCGAUGAUCACGCCGUCAGCGGCGGGAUCCCCUUUCUUUCCUCUCCACCGGUUC
rnacentral:lncRNA from 1 species